rnacentral:rRNA from 1 species
CGUAUCACCCAAGACAACUUUACGGAGUUGACGAUUGACGGAGCGAAGCGACGUCAAAGCGUUCAUUAAAGUCGAGUUGGCUUAGGGAUACGUUCGUUGGGUAGGGGAGCGUUCUGUAAGCCUGUGAAGGUGUGUCGUGAGGCAUGCUGGAGGUAUCAGAAGUGCGAAUGCUGACAUAAGUAACGAUAAAGCGGGUGAAAAGCCCGCUCGCCGGAAGACCAAGGGUUCCUGUCCAACGUUAAUCGGGGCAGGGUGAGUCGACCCCUAAGGCGAGGCCGAAAGGCGUAGUCGAUGGGAAACGGGUUAAUAUUCCCGUACUUGGUGUUACUGCGAAGGGGGGACGGAGAAGGCUAUGUUGGCCGGGCGACGGUUGUCCCGGUUUAAGCGUGUAGGUGUGUGUUCCAGGUAAAUCCGGUUCACUUUAACACUGAGGCGUGACGACGAGGCACUACGGUGCUGAAGCAACAAAUGCCCUGCUUCCAGGAAAAGCCUCUAAGCAUCAGGUAACAUCAAAUCGUACCCCAAACCGACACAGGUGGUCAGGUAGAGAAUACCAAGGCGCUUGAGAGAACUCGGGUGAAGGAACUAGGCAAAAUGGUGCCGUAACUUCGGGAGAAGGCACGCUGACACGUAGGUGAAGUGAUUUACUCAUGGAGCUGAAGUCAGUCGAAGAUACCAGCUGGCUGCAACUGUUUAUUAAAAACACAGCACUGUGCAAACACGAAAGUGGACGUAUACGGUGUGACGCCUGCCCG